UGGGGAAUUUUGGACAAUGGGCGAAAGCCUGAUCCAGCAAUGCCGCGUGUGUGAAGAAGGCCCUAGGGUUGUAAAGCUCUUUCAGCGGGGAAGAUAAUGACGGUACCCGCAGAAGAAGCCCCGGCUAACUUCGUGCCAGCAGCCGCGGUAAUACGAAGGGGGCUAGCGUUGCUCGGAAUCACUGGGCGUAAAGCGCACGUAGGCGGCUUUCUAAGUCAGGGGUGAAAUCCCGGAGCUCAACUCCGGAACUGCCUUUGAUACUGGAAUGCUUGAGUCCGGGAGAGGUGAGUUGAACUGCGAGUGUAGAGGUGAAAUUCGUAGAUAUUCGCAAGAACACCAGUGGCGAAGGCGGCUCACUGGCCCGGUACUGACGCUGAGGUGCGAAAGCGUGGGGAGCAAACA
rnacentral:rRNA from 1 species